AGGUGUUUCCUUUUUCACAUGAUUAUGUGGGCGUGCACAAAGGGAAUGCUAGGGGGAAGCAUGAACAAACUCCAAGGACGCACAGAGGUGAGGACGCAGGGGUGUAGGAGCGUGCACAGAUGAGCAGUGGUGACCAGUGGCAGUGGACGGAACAAGUGCCUGGAACAGUCCAAAUGUGCGCACGAGCUGCGUGGAACUCCGAUGCCAGAAUCUGCACCAAGGGGUAAGUAUAAAGUAGGGGC